CCUACGGGAGGCAGCAGUGGGGAAUUUUCCGCAAUGGGCGAAAGCCUGACGGAGCAAGACCGCGUGGGGGAAGAAGGCUCUUGGGUUGUAAACUCCUUUUCUCUGGGAAGAACAAAAUGACGGUACCAGAGGAAUCAGCAUCGGCUAACUCCGUGCCAGCAGCCGCGGUAAGACGGAGGAUGCAAGCGUUAUCCGGAAUGAUUGGGCGUAAAGCGUCCGCAGGUGGCAGUUCAAGUCUGCUGUCAAAGACCGGGGCUCAACCUCGGAAAGGCAGUGGAAACUGAACAGCUAGAGUAUGGUAGGGGCAAAGGGAAUUCCUGGUGUAGCGGUGAAAUGCGUAGAGAUCAGGAAGAACAUCGGUGGCGAAGGCGCUUUGCUGGACCAUAACUGACACUCAGGGACGAAAGCUAGGGGAGCGAAUGGGAUUAGAUACCCCAGUAGUC
rnacentral:rRNA from 1 species